rnacentral:pre_miRNA from 1 species
GUAGUACUCCCUCCGUCCGGAAAAACUUGUCCCUCAAAUGGAUGUAUCUAGCACCAAGUUAGUGCUAGAUACAUCCAUUUGAGAAACAAGCUUGGGACAAGCUUUUUCGGACGGAAGGAGUAGCUA